CACUCACAGAGCACCGCGGGCAGCUGCUGCACUCCAGCGGCUGUCCGCCGUAGUAUCCCCAGGGCCCCGGCCAGGGACGACCAGCGGUCGGCCCGGCCGGGCGCCCUGACCCAACCCAUCCAACCCUUCUGCCCUGAAGCAGCUUCGCACGGGGACUCCCCGCGCGACGUUAACUGAGACAACUCUCAACAACGGAUAUCUUGGCUCUCGCAACGAUGAAGAACGCAGCGAAAUGCGAUACGUAGUGUGAAUUGCAGAAUUCCGUGAAUCAUCGAAUCUUUGAACGCACAUUGCCGGUCGACUCUCCGGAGGAGACCACAUCUGCCUCAGCGUCGGAAUACCCCCUCACACGCUCCCGCGUGUGGACCUGGCCCCCCCGGACUCGAACCACCAUGAGAGGCCGGGCCGGCUGAAAUGCAGAGGCUCGCCUGCGGCUCCACUCCACGGAAGUGGGCCCCGACUAGGUAGGUAGCUCGCUACUUCUAGGCGGCGGUCCGGUGCUGCGGGCUCUGGGCCCAAAGGAUAACCCCCAUUCCAUCGA
rnacentral:misc_RNA from 1 species